rnacentral:rRNA from 1 species
UGGGGAAUUUUCCGCAAUGGGCGAAAGCCUGACGGAGCAAUACCGCGUGAGGGACGAAGGCCUGUGGGUUGUAAACCUCUUUUCUCAGGGAAGAAGAUCUGACGGUACCUGAGGAAUCAGCAUCGGCUAACUCCGUGCCAGCAGCCGCGGUAAGACGGAGGAUGCAAGCGUUAUCCGGAAUUAUUGGGCGUAAAGCGUCCGCAGGCGGUCUCGUAAGUCUGUCUUUAAAGCGUGGAGCUUAACUCCAUAAAGGGGAUGGAAACUGCGAGACUAGAGGUAGGUAGGGGUAGAAGGAAUUCCCAGUGUAGCGGUGAAAUGCGUAGAUAUUGGGAAGAACACCAGCAGCGAAGGCGUUCUACUGGACCAAACCUGACGCUCAUGGACGAAA